rnacentral:rRNA from 1 species
CAUGGCUUAGGAUGAAGGCGGCGGCGUGCUUAACACCUGCAAGUCGAACGGAAAGGCCUUGUGCUUGCACAAGGUACUCGAGUGGCGAACGGGUGAGUAACACGUGGGUGAUCUGCCCUGCACUGUGGGAUAAGCCUGGGAAACUGGGUCUAAUACCAUAUAGGACCGCAUCUUGGAUGGUGUGGUGGAAAGCUUUUGCGGUGUGGGAUGAGCCUGCGGCCUAUCAGCUUGUUGGUGGGGUAAUGGCCUACCAAGGCGGCGACGGGUAUCCGGCCUGAGAGGGUGUACGGACACAUUGGGAAUGAGAUACGGCCCAGACUCCUACGGGAGGCAGCAGUGGGGAAUAUUGCACAAUGGGCGCAAGCCUGAUGCAGCGAUCGCCGCGUGGGGGAUGAAGGC